rnacentral:rRNA from 1 species
AGAGUUUGAUCCUGGCUCAGAACGAACGCGGCGGCGUGGAUAAGACAUGCAAGUCGAGCGCUGAUUACGGGGUAGCAAUAUUCGUAGUGAGCGGCGCAAGGGUGCGUAACACGUGGGUAAUCUGCCAUGAAGUUUGGAAUAACUCGCUGAAAGGCGAGCUAAUGCGGAUGUGAAAGCUGGGAGGCAUCUCUUGGUUUUCAAAGCUGGGGACCGUAAGGCCUGGCGCUUCAUGAUGAGCCCGCGGCCUAUCAGCUAGUUGGUAAGGUAACGGCUUACCAAGGCUAAGACGGGUAGCUGGUCUGAGAGGACGACCAGCCACACUGGAACUGAGACACGGUCCAGACACCUACGGGUGGCAGCAGUCGAGAAUUUUUCACAAUGGGCGCAAGCCUGAUGGAGCGACGCCGCGUGGGGGAUGAAUGGCUUCGGCCCGUAAACCCCUGUCAUUUGCGAUCAACCGUUAUUAUUUAAAAGAUGAUGACCUGAUAGUAGCGAAAGAGGAAGGGACGGCUAACUCUGUGCCAGCAGCCGCGGUAAUACAGAGGUCCCAAGCGUUGUUCGGACUCACUGGGCGUAAAGGGUGCGUAGGUGGCGGAGUAAGUCGGAUGUGAAAUCUCCGAGCUCAACUCGGAAACUGCAUUGGAAACUACUCUGCUCGAGGGUUGGAGGGGGGACUGGAAUACUUGGUGUAGCAGUGAAAUGCGUAGAUAUCAAGUGGAACACCAGUGGCGAAGGCGAGUCCCUGGACAACUCCUGACACUGAGGCACGAAAGCUAGGGGAGCAAACAGGAUUAGAUACCCUGGUAGUC